UGUUUAAAAAAACUGUUGAUACUUGGUUACACCUAUUUUACUCGCAUUCACUAAUAACCCUAAUUUUAUUUGAGUUGCGGUAGGCCCGAUCGAUGGAUGCUGCUGUAAACAUGUUUACUUGUUUAUCUGCAUAAAGUAUCAUUACUAACAUGUACUAACGGUUACAAUCGUUUGAAACACCAACAAAAUGCUGGUUCGGGAAGCGUAUAUUCAGAACGAGGAAGAUGUUGUUUAAGAUAAUGAGUUGAAUUUCAUAAUAUCAAUAGCUAAUUGUUAUCUGUUUUAAGUUAAAUUGUUUAAUUCAACUUGAAAAAGCGUAUGAGCUGAGUUGGUAAUGGAAGAGCGUUGAUCUUAUUUGAUUAUUGAACGUUUAUCAUUAUCAAAAGUAAGAUGGAAAUUUAUUUUGCUCCCAAUUUUUGCCAGUCCGGUGAUCAACAUGUAAAUCAUAAUCAACAAUCUCAUCAAGUGAAUGGUGAUUGUGAUAUUUAACAGUUACGGUAAUUUUUGCUUUCAUUUCUUCAAUUUUUAAUUGUUCCCUCUAAAAAAAGCCUCAAUAAGUGAAAAUGAGUAAAGCUGAGGUUUAUCGGCCAUCAUCACCAUCAAGUGAAAAAGGGUGAUUAUAUUGUUGAAUUUUUAAUGGCCGUGAAACAUCAGGUACUAACAUGCAACAACACCAACUACCAAGACGAAGUAACCAACAAUUAAGACCAGAUAAAAGUGCUGGUAAAGACAAGGAUGGUGAUACAAUCAUUAUGAGCGAUUCUGGUGACAUUAUCUGGAAAGAAGAAGGUAAAGGUGGAAAGAAAGGAGGUGAUACCAUUGUGAUGAAGGGUCGUCGUAAACGAGAAAUUUUGUUACCUGUUAUCCGUGCCAACCAGGAUGACCAAUAAUCUGGUAAAUUGGUGGAUUAAUAUUGUUAUUGAGAUGACUAUCCAGAUAUCCAGUCCUCAUCUCAAUCUACAUCGCCAAAUCCUUUUUUCAUUUUUGAUUUUUGAUUUUUCUAUUUUUUACCAUUUUUUAUUGGAAAUCAUUUGUUUUGUUUAUUUCUUCAAAAGUGUCAAUAUUUAGUAGAAGUAGCUCAUGAGAUUGAAAGGUAAAACAUUUCAAGGAAAUUGAAUUGAAUAAACAAAGCAAUAUGAUGUAUCACAAUCUUGAAUAGUAGUGAAUUUUCACAUUUUCAGUGUAAUAAUUAACUAUUUUAAUUCCAAAAUCAAUAAAUGAAUUGUAUAUAUUACA